rnacentral:rRNA from 1 species
UGAGUAACCUGCCCUUAACUCUGGGAUAAGCCUGGGAAACUGGGUCUAAUACCGGAUAUGACUCCUCAUCGCAUGGUGGGGGGUGGAAAGCUUUAUUGUGGUUUUGGAUGGACUCGCGGCCUAUCAGCUUGUUGGUGAGGUAAUGGUUCACCAAGGCGACGACGGGUAGCCGGCCUGAGAGGGUGACCGGCCACACUGGGACUGAGACACGGCCCAGACCUCCGUACGGGAGGCAG